AUUGAACGCUGGCGGCAGGCCUAACACAUGCAAGUCGAGCGGAUGAGAGAAGCUUGCUUCUCGAUUCAGCGGCGGACGGGUGAGUAAUGCCUAGGAAUCUGCCUGGUAGUGGGGGACAACGUUUCGAAAGGAACGCUAAUACCGCAUACGCCCUACGGGAGAAAGCAGGGGACCUUCGGGCCUUGCGCUAUCAGAUGAGCCUAGGUCGGAUUAGCUAGUUGGUGAGGUAAUGGCUCACCAAGGCGACGAUCCGUAACUGGUCUGAGAGGAUGAUCAGGCACACUGGAACGGAGACACGGUCCAGACUCCUACGGGAGGCAGCAGUGGGGAAUAUUGGACAAUGGGCGAAAGCCUGAUCCAGCCAUGCCGCGUGUGUGAAGAAGGUCUUCGGAUUGUAAAGCACUUUAAGUUGGGAGGAAGGGUUGUAGAUUAAUACUCUGCAAUUUUGACGUUACCGACAGAAUAAGCACCGGCUAACUCUGUGCCAGCCGCCGCGGUAACAC
rnacentral:rRNA from 1 species